GUGUCAGCCGCCGCGGUAAUACGAAGGGGGCUAGCGUUGUUCGGAUUUACUGGGCGUAAAGCGCACGUAGGCGGGCUAAUAAGUCAGGGGUGAAAUCCCGGGGCUCAACCCCGGAACUGCCUUUGAUACUGUUAGUCUUGAGUAUGGUAGAGGUGAGUGGAAUUCCGAGUGUAGAGGUGAAAUUCGUAGAUAUUCGGAGGAACACCAGUGGCGAAGGCGGCUCACUGGACCAUUACUGACGCUGAGGUGCGAAAGCGUGGGGAGCAAACAGGAUUAGAAACCCUAGUAGUCC
rnacentral:rRNA from 1 species